rnacentral:rRNA from 1 species
CCUACGGGUGGCAGCAGUGAGGAAUAUUGGUCAAUGGACGCAAGUCUGAACCAGCCAUGCCGCGUGCAGGAAGACGGCUCUAUGAGUUGUAAACUGCUUUUGUACGAGGGUAAACGCAGAUACGCGUACCUGUCUGAAAGUAUCGUACGAAUAAGGAUCGGCUAACUCCGUGCCAGCAGCCGCGGUAAUACGGAGGAUUCAAGCGUUAUCCGGAUUUAUUGGGUUUAAAGGGUGCGUAGGAGGUCGGAUAAGUUAGAGGUGAAAUCCCGAGGCUCAACGUCGGAAUUGCCUUUGAUACUGUUCGGCUGGAGAGUAGUAGGGGUAGGCGGAAUGCAUGGUGUAGCGGUGAAAUGCGUAGAGAUCA